rnacentral:ncRNA from 1 species
UUUAGCAAAGCGCCAGAACCGCGUAUGCGCGUGAUCAGAUAUGCGGUUGACGAGGAGAGGACAGUAUCGAAUCUUUCGGCGGGUGGUCCUCCGGUGGUAAAAUAUUAAGAGUAUUUUACGUCGUUAUGCAUCCAACAAAGCCGGGCGGAAGCUGCGGCACAAAAAAGAUG